CCGAGUUUACAACUCCCAAACCCUUUGUGAACCUUACCUAUCGUUGCUUCGGCGGGACCGCCCCGGCGCCCUUCAAAACGCGCCGGAACAAGGCGCCCCGCCGGAGGUAUUCAAACUCUUGUUUUUUAGUGGUAUCUCUGAGUGGCGAAAGCAAAAUGAAUCA
rnacentral:misc_RNA from 1 species